rnacentral:antisense_RNA from 1 species
ACUAAAAAUACAAAAAUUAGCUGGGCGUGGUGGCGGGCGCCUGUAAUCCCACC